rfam:Clostridium bartlettii CAG:1329 genomic scaffold, scf58
AUAGGAUACUCUGGAGAGACCUUUUUGAUAAGGCGCCGAAGGGGCAAAAGCUAUUAGCUAGCUCAAUCUCUCAGGCAAAAGGACAGAGCUUUAACC